rfam:Oryza rufipogon genomic scaffold, chr12
UUUAAGUGCAGUUCUAGGUUUUCUUAUCCAACGUUUGACCGUCCGUCUUAUUUAAAAAAAUUAUGAAAAAAGUUUAAAAACUUAGUCACACAUAAAGUACUAUUUAUGUUUAAUCAUUUAAUAACAAUAAAAGUACUAACCAUAAUUUAUUAUCAACUAAGACGAACGGUCAAACGUUGGACACAGAAACGCACGAGAUGGAGGUAGU